GCCGAUGUAGCUCAGUUGGUAGAGCAACGCAUUCGUAAUGCGUAGGUCUGGGGUUCGAAUCCCCAUCUCGGCUCCA
rnacentral:tRNA from 1 species